UACGUAGGGACCAAGCGUUGUUCGGAUUUACUGGGCGUAAAGGGCGCGUAGGCGGCAAUUCAAGUCAGCUGUGAAAUCUCCGGGCUUAACUCGGAACGGUCAGCUGAUACUGCUUUGCUAGAGUGCAGAAGGGGCAAUCGGAAUUCUUGGUGUAGCGGUGAAAUGCGUAGAUAUCAAGAGGAACACCUGAGGUGAAGACGGGUUGCUGGGCUGACACUGACGCUGAGGCGCGAAAGCUAGGUUAGCAAACGGG
rnacentral:rRNA from 1 species